rnacentral:lncRNA from 1 species
GCAUUGAGAGUAUUGGCCGCUGUCGGCGUCGGCAUCAGCUUUAGCUGAGUUGUGGCUCAGUUUCUUGUGUCGUUGUCUGCGUUGAGAGUAUUGGCCGGCGUCGGCAUCGGCAUCAGCAACAACUUUCUUAGCUGCUCAUAGUCGGGCUGAGGUGAGAAGAGUGGGUCGACAAUGGGGAACGAUAGUGAGGUCUACGAGAGAACAAGCUGUGUUUUAAGAAAAAAGGGGAAGAAGAAGAAGAAGAGGGAUUUGGGGUUGAGAUUUACUCUUUAUUGCAAAUGUGAAGUAAAGAGAGAGAUGAAGGUGUGAGAGAACGCAUAUG